rnacentral:rRNA from 1 species
UACGUAGGGUGCGAGCGUUAAUCGGAAUUAUUGGGCGUAAAGGGCGCGUAGGCGGCCCGGUAAGUCAAAGGUGAAAUCCCUCGGCUCAACUGAGGAACUGCCUUUGAAACUGUCGGGCUUGAGGCCGGGAGGGGGUGGCGGAAUUCCCAGUGUAGCGGUGAAAUGCGUAGAUAUUGGGAGGAACACCAGUGGCGAAGGCGGCCACCUGGACCGGUUCUGACGCUGAUGCGCGAAAGCGUGGGUAGCAAACAGG